CCGGAGGGCCGGAUCUGGCCCCCGGGCCUUGACUUUGACACGUGGUGGGUGGAGGGUCAUUAAAGUUAAGAGUCAACUCUGGACUGCUGUGACCGCCGCAGACUGAAUGCCGCAGGACAGCGCCCUCUGCUGGUGACGCAUCCUCCUGACCUUUGACCUCUGCAGCUGCAGCCAGGAGCAGCUGCGCAGCUGACUGCUGGCAUCGCUGCCCCUCACAUGUUCUGCUGUCUAUAGGCGUCAUGAUGCAACUUCCUGAAAGCUGACGGGCGCCGCAGCUUUCACCUUGUUGCAUCAGAGCACAACAGUUAAGUUUAAAAGGCUUUAAGUGUCGUCAACAACAACAACACAAACGCACAACAGCUGCAGAGCAACACAUCUGUACUUUGGGUCAGUUUGGUGACAAAAAGACAAAACAAGUACAAACAUCCUGACUCACAACUGAGGCAGUACACAGUUACACACAAUCACAGAAACAACACAAACAUUCAGAGCCGUCAUGCCGAUGGAGGAGCUUCUAUUGUGUAAAGUCAUCAAAAAAUGUGCAAUAAAGUUAAAAAAAGAAGAAAAAAAACCUCCAGGACCAGAACCUUCGUUUCAGUCUGACGAGCAGCUGAACCUGCAGACGGACAUCUGCUGCACAGGAAAUGAGGUCACCUCUUCAUUAUGCAGAUCUUUUUGUCUCAACCUGUAGCCUUCACACACACACGUGCUCAUGCGUGUUGGUGUGCGUGCUUUCUUCCAGCCUUGUUGUUGUGUGCCACAGGUAGAUAAGAGCCUCAAACCCUGUACACACACACACAAACACACACAGCAGGUUAUCUUCUCCACAUGGUUAACGUGUUUUUACGCCAUGUGAUGAAAUAUUGAAGAAAUGGUGUCAGAAGAAGUGUUUGUGUGUUAAACUUUACUGUCUCUUUCAUAACAGAUGUGAUGAAAUCAGAGGCCAAGUCUCUGACUCAACUACGGCCUUUCAUGAGAACACACACACACAAACACGCACACACAGGAUUUGUGUUCCUGUAACAAACACUCCUGAUUCUGAGAUUAGCUGGUGUCUCUGACAUGCAGUCGUUUUGUGUCGUUUUGUGUCUUUCAGAGUCAGACUCUAGAAAUACAUCACACUCAAUAAAUUAGGGACAUUGUCUUGUAUUAUUUAUACGACAGCUUUUCCUAUUUGGUCUGAAUUUGAAUGAAAUACAUGAAAAAUCCCCCAUGAUGUUACUAAUAAUGACUGAGAAGAGACACUAUUUUCAUUAAUUUGAUAUUUAUUACUCCAGAAGUGAAGAUAAGAAUAAAGUUUGCCCCCGACAACUUAAGCUGACCAUGUCAUCAGUGGGUAUUUCCAGGGUCUGGGUUGAAAAAAAUCGAUUUAAAUCGAUUUAAGCUUGUUGAAUAAAUAAUCAAUUCACAAAAGAUAAAUCGAUUUAUCACAUAAAGCUUAAGUGCGCUAGCUCGAUGCUAACGUUCAAUAGAAUUUCCUAUUGGACGGCUAAUGCUAAAGUUCAGUUGACCAAAAACAUACAUUGCUGAUUAAUUGAACAUCUUUAUUUACUUACAGGCAUUUGUUUUCCAAACUCUUUCAAGGAAAUAAUUUUAAAGUAACUAUUUGUGGUCUAAAACUUUGUUUUUUUUCCCCUCAUACUGUCGUCUUCUUCUUGACUGAGGUGUACUUCUGUAGCGUGAUCGCCACCUAGUGGCCAAACUUAAACUUUCUCCAGGAGAAGCAGAACAAUGUUUCCAAUGUUAAUGAUCUGAACAUUUUUGUUAGAACUUCUCCUUUAGAGAAUCCAUGUAACGCAUAUUAAAAAUCUCAGUAUUUUACUUAGAAAUUUUACAGUAUGUGAACUGGAUCAGAUUAAUAUAAAU
ensembl:lncRNA